UACGUAGGUGGCAAGCGUUGUCCGGAUUUACUGGGCGUAAAGAGCGCGCAGGCGGUCAGAUAAGUCGAAUGUGAAAGCCCCCGGCUCAACUGGGGAGGGUCAUUCGAUACUGUUCGACUCGAAGGCAGGAGAGGGAAGUGGAAUUCCCGGUGUAGUGGUGAAAUGCGUAGAUAUCAGGAGGAACACCCAUAGCGAAGGCAGCUUGCUGGGACGUUACUGACGCUAAGGCGCGAAAGCGUGGGGAGCGAACAGG
rnacentral:rRNA from 1 species